ensembl:lncRNA
UGCAAGCGCCCUCUGCCCUCACUGAAUCCCUGCUAAAGCCACAGGUAGCUAGCUACUCUGGACGAAUAGCCUUUCCCCGGAGGCAGCAGGAAAGGACUCCGUGGGAAUGGCAGGGUUGACAAGAAGCCUGGUGAAGACACCGCCCAGAUAUGACUUUCGGGAGAAAGAAAACCAAAUUCCAGGGAAUUUCCUGGCUGACCGGUGGUUAGGACUCAGUGCUCGCACUGCUGAGGAUGCAGGUUCAGUCCGUGGUCCUGAAAGUAAGAUCCCACAAGCUGCAUGGCAGAGCAGGAAGAAAAAAAUUCCCAUCUUCUACCAGUUUACUAUUAGUAACAAAGUUGAUUUACCUAAUUAAAUCCAUUCUAAUUUUAA